rnacentral:rRNA from 1 species
AGACGAACUGUUCUAACGUUAUUCGGAAUCACCGGGCUUAAAGGGCGCGUGGGCGGUUUUUUAAGCGGGGUCUGAAAUCCCUCGGCUCAACCGAGGAACUGGGCUUCGAACUGGAGAACUAGAGUGAAGUAGGGGUAAGCGGAACUUGCGGUGGAGCGGUGAAAUGCUUUGAUAUCGCAAGGAACACCGGUGGCGAAGGCGGCUUACUGGGCUUCAACUGACGCUCAAGCGCGAAAGCUAGGGUAGCGAACGGGAUUAGAUACCCCGGUAGUCCUAGCCGUAAACACUGAGCGCUUGUUCGAGGGGGAUUUUUUCCUUCUCGGGCGUAGCGAAAGUUUUAAGCGCUCCGCCUGGGGAGUAUGGUCGCAAGGCUGAAACUCAAAUGAAUUGACGGGG